rnacentral:lncRNA from 1 species
UCGUAGGAGUUUAUUUCCUUAUUUAAUUCCCAUAAUCCAUAUCAGGCGUCGAAGUUGGAGCUAACACCCAUACCAUCAAUUACAUUCAAAUAUCCAAAAUUAAUUCAAUUGAAUUACAAUUUCGAUUCAUUAACACUCAAGACUAAUUAAAACAUUCAAAAUAUUUUCAUAGCAUCCACAAACCACAACAGUUCAAGACAUGGUAUCAUAGUAAUAUACAUCACCUAUCAUCCUAACACUAGCAUGCCAAAACACGAUUUUGCAGCCAAUAAUUAAACAUCAGAUGAUGCAUCAACAUCAACACACAACUACAGCAAGUCCACCUACAGCCACCCAAACCUUCGACAAUAACAGACCAAACCUCAACCUGCAAUGGCCAGUUUCACAAUAGGGAAUCAGUUAAAAAAUCCAUAGCACAAACAAUAUCGGUUAAGGAGCAUCAUUUAACACCAACUCACAAUAACCUUUCAAUAAUUCUAAACAUAAUACAAACUACAAGUGAAUAAUUGACAAGUAAAUCUCACAUAAUUAAUAAAUCAGUAAUCUAAUAUUUCUUUCUUACCUAAAUAAUUUUCCAUUAAGCAUUGCAGCCAACAUUUUUAUUUGUCUUCUUUCACAACAAAUGCGUUCUGCAAGCAGUCCUAACAGCAUGUGGUCCUAGCAGGGCAAAGAAACCUGAAAAUUCACCACCAAAUACACAUGUUUAAUUCUAUACAUUCAAAUCAGGAAAAUGAAUAAUUAACUUGAUGAUACUCCUACUGCAAGGCUAGAUAGCAGUAGCAGUAUUUUACAGAAAAUUAGAUGGAAUUUGAUAAGUUAUUUUCAUUUCAUGUGAAUUACAAACUUAGCUCACUAAAAUAGUUCAUAGCAUACUAAAUUGUUAAGCUGGUCUAAAUGUAUAGUUGCAGCAUAGCUUAAUUUCAACUCAAUGAACAAACUAACCAAUUUACAUUUCAUACUAAGUGAAUUUCAAUUGAAUUUGUAACUAACUUCACCUAAUCUCUAAUGGACUAACAAACAGAGUGAACCAAUUUUAAAAGUUCCUAACAGGACCAAUUCACAGUGAAUUUCAGAAUUCAUUUCAUCCGAAUUUCAAUUUCAUUUGAAUCUGGAUUCCUAACUAACUUAUGAAUUUGAGAAGAAUGUCAUUGUGAAUUUCAAUAUAAUUUCUAACAAACUUGGAGAUGUAUAAAUAGUAUAAAUACCUUACUGCAGAACUUCAAUGAAAAAAGGAACCAACUUCGAUCUUCAAUUCUCAACUCUUCAUUCUAUUCUUCAACCUUCAAUCUUCUUUCAUCUUCAAUCUUCAAUCUUCUUCAAUCUUCAAUCUUCUUCAAUCUUCAACCUGCAAUCUUCAUUCUGCAAUUGGGUGUCUCCACUCUGCAACCUGGGAAUCCCAUUCUGCAAUCUGCAACAAUCACCACAAUCCCUCAAUCCGCAGCACAACUACAACAACAACAACAAGAACGCACCAGAACAGAAGAAGGGAGAAGAAGAAGGACAUAUCGUAUCAGAAGCCGAAGAGUAUCAGAAGUAGAAGCACAUUAGAACAGCAGCAGAAAAGGAUCGAAGAAGAAACGCAGAGGGAGAAGAAUAAAGAAUGAAUCGAAGCUGAGGAAUUCAAUACCUGCAAUUAAGGGGAGGAUCCUCAACUUGAGUUCUCAAUCUGCAAGCUUUUUUUUUCAAUCUUCAACCAGUUUUUUGCUUCAUAAACCUGCCGUGAGGCCUGUACCCCUGUCUCCAUUACUAUUAUUAAUCUAUUUAUUUUAUUUUAAUUAUUAAAUAAU